rnacentral:rRNA from 1 species
UUAUCUCUGUAGAGUCUGCAUAUCAAUAAGCGGAGGAAAAGGAAACUAACUAAGGAUUCCCUCAGUAACGGCGAGUGAAGCGGGAAGAGCUCAAAUUUGAAAUCUUCAAGGUUCUACCUUGACGAAUUGUAGUUUAAAGAAGUGUUUUCUGUUGGUGUUUUGGUAAAAGUUCUUUGGAAUAGGACAUCAUAGAGGGUGAGAAUCCCGUAUUUGACCAGUUACUUUCCAGCUGUUGUGAUACACUUUCAAAGAGUCGGAUUGUUUGGGAAUGCAGUCCAAAAUGGGUGGUAAAUUUCAUCUAAAGCUAAAUACUGGCGAGAGACCGAUAGCGAACAAGUACCGUGAGGGAAAGAUGAAAAGAACUUUGAAAAGAGAGUUAAACAGUACGUGAAAUUGUCAAAAGGGAAGCGUUUGACACCAGUGUUGUUUUCUCGAAAAUCAAUUAAAAAUGGCGGGAUUUUGUGUUGUAUUGACUUUAUCAGCUUUCUGCACUUUUUUCCUAUCUUUUUUAAUGCACUUUUCGUUUAACAAGUCAACAUCAAUUUCUUUUGUUGUAAGAGAGGUCAUUGGAAGGUGGCUUUCUUUUCGGAGAAAGUGUUUAUAGCCUUUGACUUCUGCAAUCGGAGAGAUUGAGGUCUGCAGCGUAGAUCCUUCGGGGUUAGAUGCAUUUGUGCUAAGUUAUAGCCUUUCAUAGACAACUUGUUGACUAUGAUCAGUCAUGUAGCUUACUCGCUUAUGUCAUUUUACCUACGCUUAGGAUGUUGAUCUCUCACAGUCGAGC